AUGUGGUGGCCAGGGGUUGCUGUAAGCCAAACAGAAGUGAAGUUGUUUCUCAAACAAAAGAGAGUUGUUGCAGUUGUAGUAGCUUUAUUAUUUUGCGAAGAAGGGUCCAUAUAUAUUAUAAAUUUCACCAGUAGUACAAAGCACUCCCAACAUAGUAAAAAUAACAUUGAGGUCCUCGGACCACUACCGCCAGCAGAACAAGCCGUCCACGUGCUCCUGUCGCUCUUCCUCUAUCGGUGUCGGCCUGACCUUUUCGAUGACAGUUGGGAAGUCUUCGUGCAUGUGUCCCUAAGUACCAGCAGUCGUUGUUGUUGA
rnacentral:rRNA from 1 species